rnacentral:misc_RNA from 1 species
UUAACUAUUAUAUAGUACUCAGACGACACUAAUGCUUAGGGUUUAGGGUCCUCUGGCGGGCGCAUACCAGCUGGAGCCGGUAGUCAGGCCGAGGGCCUGACGGCCCGCCAAAGCAACAGGAUGAUAUUAACAUAAGGAUGGGAGAUCUACCCGAACGGGCAUGAACUCUGUAAUGAUCCCUCCGCAGGUUCACCUACGGAGA